UACGAAGGGGGCUAGCGUUGCUCGGAAUUACUGGGCGUAAAGGGCGCGUAGGCGGACAGUUAAGUCAGAGGUGAAAGCCCAGGGCUCAACCCUGGAAUAGCCUUUGAUACUGGCUGUCUUGAGUGCGGGAGAGGUGUGUGGAACUCCGAGUGUAGAGGUGAAAUUCGUAGAUAUUCGGAAGAACACCAGUGGCGAAGGCGGCUCACUGGCGUCGAUACUGACGCUGAGGUGCGAAAGCGUGGGGAGC
rnacentral:rRNA from 1 species